ensembl:lncRNA
CUUCCUGUUGCAGGAUUCAGUCUCCUUCAGAUUUUCCUGAGCAGAGGGCAGAUGAUGACUUGCCUGCGCAUCAGUUAGCUAUUGUUGCAUAACAAGCUACUCCAAACUCUGUCCUAAAAGAGUACAAUUAUGGCUCUUGGGUUAGAUGGACAGCUCUUAUGCUCUUGGUAAGGUUCGCCUCCUAUCUCCUGCCAACAGUGGGCCAGGUAGGAAGCUCUGCAUUUCUAGGCUGACUAUGGGCUGGUCUGAGGUCACCUUGAAUGGGACAGGUGGUGUCUUCUUUGUGAAGGCUCUCAUCAUCCAGCAGACUUGUCUGGAGCUGUUCACAUGGUGGUGAUAAGGAUCUGACAGAGAGUGUCUUUUCAAGAUGGCACACUGAUAUUUCCAUUGCAAGUUGACCAGCAAACCACCAGGCCAGUCUAGACACAAAAGCAGUAAAGAAUCCACCUGCAAGGAAGGAGACAAAGGAGAUGUGAGUUCUAUCCCUGGGAUUGGAAAGAUCCCCCGGAGGAGAAAUGGCAACCCACUCCAGUGUUCUUGCCUGAAAAAUUCUUGGACAGAGGAGCCCGGUGGGCUACAGUCCAUGGGGUCGCAAAGAGUUGAACACGACUGAGCAAGCGAGAUAACUAAUUCUGUGCCUCAUUUAGCCAGGCCAAGAACAUGCAUGUUAUCCUGUGGUGUCACAGCCCUGUGUCAGAGGUGCCUGCAAAAGAUGCAUGCAAAGAGAACGGGAAAAAGGAUCAGGCGUAGCAACCUGUGUUUUUGUCUAGAACACAGACUACAGAGGACACAUCCUCUGGAAGCCACAGAUGGCAGACCCUCUGGAGAGCCACAAAAGAGAUCAUCUUUCCAGCAAGCAUUCUGCGGCAUGUUCCCUUUGAGGAGAAGAGAAAGCAGCCCAGCAAAUGAAGGCAGAAAGUUCCAGCUGCAUCAUUGACUCGAUAGCGCAACCUCUGAGCACUGCCCUAACCUCUGUCUCUGGUUUCCUGUCUUGCACAUGAGGAUUACAUGCAUGCCUCACCAUACCUCAGUGAGGACAAAGAUGAUCGAAUGAGCUAGUGCUUCAUGAAAGUACUUUGAGCUUUGGAAGCAGAGAUUUUACAUAGAUACAAGAACCAUCAUCAGCCCAGAGAUGUUUUGGAGGGUGUUAUAGAAAUAUUCUCAAUGGUCUUCAAGAGCAAGGUUAAGAGCUCCCUGCACUUGGUUCUUCCUCCCCUACAUAGAG